AAUAAAGUAGGAUAUAUUUAGUCCUUUAGGUUCAUACCCUAAGAGUAUUUUCUUUAUUG
rnacentral:tRNA from 1 species